rnacentral:lncRNA from 1 species
AAGUUGUUCUCCAAAAUUUAGUUCUCCAACCAAACGCAGCCUAACAGUAUAACAUUGCAACUAGUACUUUUUAUCAUUCAAUCGAACAAAGAGUAAAACCUAAUUAUAUUGUUCUAUUAUGCCCCGAGAGUGUAAAUUUGGAACGAAUCUAUGUCAACUUUCGCAAGAACCAAAGCCGGAACAACAUUAGAAAACUCAGUUGCGACCUAACUGUAUAACGUUUCAACAAGUAGUUUUUCUCAUUCUAUCGAACAAAGAGUAAAACCUUAUUAAAUUGUUCUAUUAUGCCCCGAGAGUGUAAAUUUGGAACAAAUCGAUGUCAACUUUCGCAAGAACCAAAACCGGAACAACAUUAGACAACUCAGUUUCGACCUAACAGUAUAACGUUGCAACAAGUAGUUUUUCUCAUUCUAUCGAACAAAGAGUAAAACCUAAUUAAAUUGUUCUAUUAUACCCCGAGAGUGUAANGAGUGCCCUGCGAGCGAGAGCGAGAGAAAGAGAAAGGGGAGAGCGCGAGAUGACGAGAGAGGAGACGAGAGAGGCGCGAGAUCAAGAGAGAGGCGAGGGAGCGAGCGGGACCGAGAGAGCGAGCGGGACCGAGAAGGAGGUGAAGGGGAGAGAGAGAGAAAGAGAUGUGUAGUAGGGUUUAGCUUUAGGAAGAAAAAAUAAAAGGGGAGUGAAGUUAGCUGCUACUGUG